UGGGGAAUUUUGGACAAUGGGCGCAAGCCUGAUCCAGCCAUGCCGCGUGAGUGAAGAAGGCCUUCGGGUUGUAAAGCUCUUUCGGUGGGGACGAAAAGGUUCGUGCUAAUACCACGGACUAAUGACGGUACCCGAAGAAGAAGCACCGGCUAACUACGUGCCAGCAGCCGCGGUAAUACGUAGGGUGCAGGCGUUAAUCGGAAUUACUGGGCGUAAAGCGUGCGCAGGCGGUUUGUUAAGACAGAUGUGAAAUCCCCGGGCUUAACCUGGGAACUGCGUUUGUAACUGGCAAGCUAGAGUGUGGCAGAGGGGGGUGGAAUUCCAAGUGUAGCAGUGAAAUGCGUAGAUAUUUGGAGGAACACCGAUGGCGAAGGCAGCCCCCUGGGCUAACACUGACGCUCAUGCACGAAAGCGUGGGGAGCAAACAGGAUUAGAUACCCCCGUAGUCCCUGAGCGGGCUGGCAAGGCGCAU
rnacentral:rRNA from 1 species